rnacentral:lncRNA from 1 species
AGUCCAGACAAACCUUCCUGAAAAUGGAACAUUGUGUCUCUACACAUCAUUUUGGUUUUAGUGAAGUCUGUGCCUCUCAUCUGGUAUGAUUCCUUCCAAAAAGCAAGCACUAUUCCUGUCUUCCAGAUCUUUUUCAAUGCAGAAGCUUAAAGAAGACACUAAAAAAUGUGUUUAAGAUCUCUUUAAACUGAAGUCUUCUGAACAAGUGAAGCAGAUCCACAGCAAAUGAUGACUCUUCUCUAUGUAUGACGAUGAUGGUUUGUGAACCAAACUCUGGAUCAUAUAAAAAUGAGUGUUUGAAAUACUACUUCAAAAGUAGCCACUUCUGAAGAUUCUAUACAUUUAUUCAGAGAAUGACAGUCAUGGGCCAAACUGCUUGGGAACGCCUCUUGGAGGACUGCCUUCAAAUCAUCACUUCACAGGCUGGACGACAGGGCCAGGCUCCACACUUUAUAGACAGUCUUUUUGUUUUCUUUUUUUUUUUUAACCCCAAAUGGUUAUACUCAUGCCAUUGACCAGCUUGGCCUCUGGAUGACUUUUGGCUCUUUCCAGAAAUCAUUAAAUUCACUGUCUUCCACUGACUCCCAUCCCCCAUCCCACCCCAAAGGAAGAAGACUUGGCACAGAGUAGGACUUUCAGAAAAAUGCUCUGCAGGCUCUGAAGACAAUUCUGCGAGAGGAGUUCCAAAUGUUUAGAGGAAAAACAAGACAACUAGAGUCAGUAUAUGACCUCCCAACGAGAAUGUGCUGAAAAGAGACAAAAUUCCUUAGGGUUUCUAAGUUCUAGAAGAUUACUUUUUAAAUAUCAUUUUAUGUUCCUAUGCCACAUUUAAAAUGUACAAACCUUGCAUGCCAUACCAGGUAGCCAGAUUGAGCAAAUAUCUUCACGUGUUUUCUACUUCAAUCAAAAUAGAAAACCUUAAGCUUUUUUGCUUUUGAGACUAAGCCUAUAAACAAAAGUACAAUUUAUAAACCUGCUAUGCACAUUGGCAGGAACCUAUGACAUAAAAUGAAUAUUUAAACUUGGGUUAUUUGGCAAAAUGGUGGUACCAUCCUCCCAGUAACAAUGCUAAACAUCAGAACACAAGCAAGCUCAUGAUGCAAUCAGCACAGGGGUGCGGGAUCAUUAUCUUCAGUUGUUCACUUGCAGAGGGACUGAAAGCUCAAGUUAUAUAGACUUGCCUCAUCUGUAGGCCUGGUGAAUACAUCUUCCAUUUUACAUUUUGGCUCCAGGAUAUGACAUUCUCUCCAUAUAUCAUCUGCUGGUUUUCUUCUUUGUUGGACAGUUAUUUUGUUAGGAAUUCAUAACUCUUUAUGUUUUGACACAAGCUCCCAGCACAUAAGCUAUUCCCUGAUUGGAAAUGAAGCUGUUUAGAAACUUGUUUUAACUCUUUCAAUUCAUUAGGGUGUUAUUUAGUAAGUUCACUGAAGCAGUAAUUUCCCAAGUAGAAUUAGCUGGCCCUUUAUAUGUUGUCAAAUAGCCAACUUUCGAGCUGGAACAAUCCAACAAAUGCAGUUAUAACGCAACCAAAACCAGUUAAGAAAUAAGUGACUUUGGGGAUUUAAAAAGAGAAAGUGAGUCCAGGGAAAUUUGCUAAUUCUUUUGGAAAGAACUUAAAAAUUAGGGAAUGAAGGAAAACAAAUUGGACUUCACAUAUUUGGAUUUCAGAACAACAUUUGAUUUAGAAUAGUAAUUCUAUGGUUAGAUUAAUUCAAGCCAUAUUAAUUAUUUGAAGAUUGUAAUGCAUGAUUCUAAUAUGAUGCUCAUUCGAUUCACAUUUCCCAUUACCUCUGAAGAGUACAUAUCUCCAAACGGAGUUAUUUGGAAUAAGUCUUUUACUGUGCACAAGUUUAGAAAAAAUUUCCAGGAAUUUAUCCCAAAGGAAAACCCAAUAGAAACAAAAACAAUUUGUAUUUGCCCACACUAGUGCAUUUCUCUGCCUUCUGCCAGACAUUUUUUAGAUAUUCUCAAAUCAAGUUCUCAUUUCUGCCUCUGGCAUCUCACUGCAACAGUACCAGACAUUGAUAUAGUCUCGAUAACUUUCAAAAGCUUUCUUUGUACAUCGUCGGGUCGGAUCUGUGCAAUUAUUUUGUGGGUUUAAAAAUGCUUCUCUACCUAAAUGUAAGCUCCUAGAGGGAAGAACUUUGUCUAUCUUGCCUACUUUUGUAUCUUCAGAAUUCAGAAACGUGUCUGGUACGUAGAAAAUGUCAUUAACCAUUUGUUGAAUUCUGUAGAUGAGGAAACUCAGGGCCUACAAAAGAGUAAUAAUGAUGCUUUUGUUUAGCUCCAUAAAGUCUUCAGACUGCUAUCUUAUUUAUUCUGUUAUUGUAGAGUUCCAUAUUUUAUGAGGACACUGCCUUCCUUUUUUGUCACAAUUGCACAUUAUACACAAACACACACACACAAACACACGUACAUCUAUAGCUGUUCCAUGAUUUUUACUUACGCCUCUUUUUGAGCAAUUAUAUCUAUAAAAUCAUGAGUUUUAUGUGCUAGUUAUAUUUUUUCCUAAUACACAUAAGAACAAAUAAAUCAUUUUAUAUAGAAUUAAAAAGUAGAUAAAAACUGGAUUGUGCAAAAUCAUCUCACAUCAUACAAAUUGCUAUCCCUACUACAUUUGGAGCAAGUCUGUUAUGUUGGAUCCUUUUAGUAAGCCCAUGAGAGAGGCCACAGGAGGUAAGCAAAGCAGGCUUUGUUAGCUCCAAUUUACCAGGGAAUAAACUGAGGUGAGUGCGCACAGGGUCACACAACUACUAAGUGUGGAUCUAGGACUCUGGCCCCCAAGUCUCCUCACUGCCUGUUUAACAUCUUCUACUAUCUUCUACCCCUCCUCCAGCAUUCCUGGGGAAAUCUACAGCUAAGCUGAUAUUUGCUCUCUCUGUAGAUGGCUCUCUGUUCUGAGAGUCUAGCUUAGAGCUAUUUGGAAACAAUCUUAUGAGGAUGAACUAGGGACAAAGAGGUCACCUUAGGCAGGUCUUAAUUUGUAAUUUUAUUCAAGGGAGGAAGUACAUGCUAAGAAAUUGUUGCUGAAAACUGUGUCUAAUUGGUAAUAAUGAGAAAAGGGUGGGAAAGGAUGGAGAGUUGGAUGAUAAGGGAAAAAAUAAAAAUUGGCUUAGAGAAACAUGCUCCCUGGAAGCUCAUUUGCAUGUACUAUAAAACCAUGUAAGGCUUGUUUUGUGCAAUGAUAUAAUCAUAGUUAAAGUCGAUGAGCAUACCUACUACAAACCAGGUGUGUCACCUGCAUUAUCUCAUGUAUCCUCAUGGCAGGUAAGUUUCUUGCUUAGAGAGUAACCUGCUUAGGAUCACACACCUGAGAGGGG